GUCAGCAGCCAUAUCACUCUGCAACUCACAACUGGCAGCCCACUGAAGCUCAGCAGGUGUGAGCCUGGUCAGUACCUGGAUGGGAGACCUCCUGGGAAAAACUAAGGUUGCUGCUGGAA
rnacentral:rRNA from 1 species